UCUUAGGAAUGAGCAAAGAAGGUUGUUUCUUAAGAUGGAAUCGACUUCUGGUAAAGGUUUUGUGAA
rnacentral:pre_miRNA from 1 species